rnacentral:rRNA from 1 species
ACGGGUGACAGGUGGUGCAUGGUUUGUCGUCAGCUCGUGUCGUGAGAUGUUGGUUAAGUCCCGCAACGAGCGCAACCCUCGACCUUAGUUUGCCAGCAUUCAGUUGGGCACUCUAAGGUGACUGCCGGCUAAAAGUCGGAGGAAGGUGGGGAUGACGUCAAAUCAUCAUGCCCCUUAUGACCUGGGCUACACACGUGCUACAAUGGGCGGUACAAAGGGUCGCGAACCCGCGAGGGGGAGCCAAUCCCAAAAAGCCGCUCUCAGUUCGGAUUGCAGGCUGCAACUCGCCUGCAUGAAGCCGGAAUCGCUAGUAAUCGCGGAUCAGCACGCCGCGGUGAAUACGUUCCCGGGCCUU